UGACCUCGGAUCAGGUAGGAAUAACCGCUGAACUUAAGUAUAAUAAGCGGAGGA
rnacentral:rRNA from 1 species